CAUCGGCAUAGACUGAUAUGGCGUUCUGGAGUGGGAAUUACAACAGAUUUUUGCCGUCGCGUUUCCGAAUGUAUGAACGAUACAGAUUUAAAUUUAAAUAUAGGAGGCCUUGCACUAUUUUUAAUAAGCUAAAGAACGUAAACAAUGUGUGAAGUAAAGAAGAAGCAUAUAGGAUAUAUGAAGUUCCUCUUACGAACUUAGAUGAAGAUACGGAAGAGGAUUAUAUAUGAGCGACUAAAAGGAAUCUGGGAGUUAGAUUGUCAGAACACAAAAGGGAUAUAAGAAAAGGGAACCAUGUUACAUCUUUGGCUUCCAGAGUGUAUGAGGUGAAUGUUAACAUGAAGUGGGACCAAGCAAAAGUAGUAAAACAAAUGGACAACCAAGAGGAGCUAACAGCAGCUGAGAUUUUAGGAAUCUUUAAAGGUAGGAGUAAUGCUAAGGUCAUAAACAACAGGCAGGUGGCCAUCUUACCGAACCCCUGGAAAUUUUUGUUGAGGAAGAAUAGCUCAAAUAAAGACACAGCUCCAAGGCAGGAAUUGGAAAGUUUUAUUUGCAGUUCAAUAUACUGUAG
rnacentral:lncRNA from 1 species